GACCCCUAACAUCAACCUUAAGCUCUCUACAAGGGUUUCAAAUAAUACCAUCAUUCUGGGCACGAAAUCAAGAAGCAAUAACACUAGAACGAUCCCCACUGCGUAAGUAUUGCUAUAUUGCCUCUCUUUUUCUUUGUAGUUUGAGUUUUGAAAGGUAUUUAAUAGCUAAGAAAAUUCUUAAUUUCUGGUUUUAAUCUCUUAAAUAUCAAGGAAGGUUGAUUAAUUGAUUUCAUAAUAGUUAGAACUCAUGGGACAGUGAUCGGAAGCCGUGAGUUCGAGUUAUUUGACUUGUAAUGGAUGUUCUUAGGCUGUUUCGUGUAGCUUUUGGGCUGUCUAUUUUGUUGUUGUCAAAUGGAGUUUUUUGGAGGAUAAAUGGUGUGGAUAAAUACCACAUAAUGGCAAAAUCAUGGAUUAGUCAUUAUGUUUGACACUACUAUAGUCGUCGUUUUGGAUAUGAAUUGAUUAGGGUGUAUUGGGUUGUUGUAAGCUAAAUAUAAUAUGGGUUUCGACUUGCAUAUACUGUAUGAGGUAAAUAUAUUGUGUUCCUACAUGUUCUUAAGGUUAUCUUGGCAUUGGUUAAGUUAAAUGGAUGAACUAGAUAAUAAAGUUGCUAAUUAAGAAUAAUUGGAGUUGUGGAUCAUUUUCUUUAUUAUAGAUAUAUGGUAUAAGGCUAGAAUUAUUGAUGAAUGACUCCAUUAUCAUGUUAAUGAUACUAUUGAGUUAAAUUAAAAAGUCUAUAAGGGAUGAUAUGGGUAUACGAAUUCCAAUUGGAGCUUGUCGCUCGUCGUAAAAUAGUUAUGACUUGUUGUUGUUUUAUGGUGUCUUGUUAUUGAUAAUUAUGUAUUGCUGGAUUUCUCUAGUAAUUGUUGUUGGUAUAUGAUAUUGGAGGAGGCUCUUGUUACAGGGGAGAUGCUGCCCGAAUUUAUAUAAACGAGCUACAAGUUUAAGUUGCAGACUUAGCCUUUAUUCAACACUGAUUUUGAAUCUCCUUAUGCAAUGGUAGACUGAGUUGAGUUGUUUGGAGAGUAGCUUGGGAGGUAUUAAAGACUCACCAUGGUUAAGGUAUGUUAAGGCACUUCCCUUUUUCUUUCGGCAUGAUCUAAAGUGAAAUAAAUACGCUAUUUUAUAACGGAUUUACUCCUAGAAACUAAGGUUGCUCAUGUUGUUCUUUCCUUAUAAGUUAUUUUAAGCAAGUAUGUAUGAUCCUUGAAUCCUAUAGAAGCUCAUAUUGAUGGUAUGAUGUCCAUAAUGUUAAUCGAAGGUGAAACGACCUUAAGUCACUCCAAAAGGUUUAGAACGUGAUUCCAUGAGUCUAGCAUGCAUUAUAUAUAGUAUCUAUUUUACUCUACCGAGCCGCGCUAUAGUAGGCCGGGUACGACACCUAUGGUGCAAUCACUGAUCAGUUGGAUUUACCGAGCUCCACGUGGCCGGGUACGAUUCUACCGAGCCUUAUGAUGGUCGGGUACGCUUUUACCGAGUCCUCUUUGAGGCCAGGUACGAUAUGAUGAUGAUGAUGAUGAUGCCUACAGAGUCGUAUGUUUUUAAAAGUUUAUCUAUAUAUAUGUAUUAUGCAUUUCAUGUCAGUAACCCCAGAGGCACGCAAAUGUUAUAGGUUGUAUCUCCUCUAUCUCUCUUUAGAUUACUGUUCUUGUUUAUGCUUUCCUGCCUUACAUACUCGGUACUAUAUUUGUACCGACGUCCUUUUUUCCUGGGGACGCUGCGUUUCAUGCCCGCAGGUCCCAAUUGAUAGGUUGACAUUUCUCCUAGUAGGCUAUCAGCUCAGCGGAGGUGUUGGUGCACUCUACUU
rnacentral:lncRNA from 1 species